rnacentral:rRNA from 1 species
CGGGUGAGUAAUGCGUGACCAACCUCGCCCCAUGCUCCAGAAUAGCUCUUGGAAACGGGUGGUAAUGCUGGAUGCUCCAACUUGACGCAUGUCUUGUUGGGAAAGUGUUUAGUGGCAUGGGAUGGGGUCGCGUCCUAUCAGCUUGUAGGCGGGGUAAUGGCCCACCUAGGCUUCGACGGGUAGCCGGCCUGAGAGGGCGGACGGCCACAUUGGGACUGAGAUACGGCCCAGACUCCUACGGGAGGCAGCAGGU